AACGAACGCUGGCGGCAGGCUUAACACAUGCAAGUCGAGCGCCCCGCAAGGGGAGCGGCAGACGGGUGAGUAACGCGUGGGAACGUACCCUUUGCUACGGAAUAGCUCCGGGAAACUGGAAUUAAUACCGUAUGUGCCCUACGGGGGAAAGAUUUAUCGGCAAAGGAUCGGCCCGCGUUGGAUUAGCUAGUUGGUGGGGUAAUGGCCUACCAAGGCGACGAUCCAUAGCUGGUCUGAGAGGAUGAUCAGCCACAUUGGGACUGAGACACGGCCCAAACUCCUACGGGAGGCAGCAGUGGGGAAUAUUGGACAAUGGGCGCAAGCCUGAUCCAGCCAUGCCGCGUGAGUGAUGAAGGCCUUAGGGUUGUAAAGCUCUUUCACCGGUGAAGAUAAUGAUGGUAACCGGAGAAGAAGCCCCGGCUAACUUCGUGCCAGCCGCCGCCGUAAUAC
rnacentral:rRNA from 1 species